rnacentral:rRNA from 1 species
GAUGAACGCUGGCGGCGUGCCUAAUACAUGCAAGUCGAGCGAACAGACGAGGAGCUUGCUCCUCUGACGUUAGCGGCGGACGGGUGAGUAACACGUGGAUAACCUACCUAUAAGACUGGGAUAACUUCGGGAAAACGGAGCUAAUACCGGAUAAUAUAUUGAACCGCAUGGUUCAAUAGUGAAAGACGGUUUUGCUGUCACUUAUAGAUGGAUCUGCGCCGCAUUAGCUAGUUGGUAAGGUAACGGCUUACCAAGGCAACGAUGCGUAGCCGACCUGAGAGGGUGAACGGCCACACUGGAACUGAGACACGGUCCAGACUCCUACGGGGGGCAGCAGUAGGGAAUCUUCCGCAAUGGGCGAAAGCCUGACGGAGCAACGCCGCGUGAGUGAUGAAGGUCUUCGGAUCGUAAAACUCUGUUAUUAGGGAAGAACAAAUGUGUAAGUAACUAUGCACGUCUUGACGGUACCUAAUCAGAAAGCCACGGCUAACUACGUG